CUUUUAGUAUUGCUCAUCUUGUGUCAUUACAGAGAGAGCAUAUCUGAAUCAUAUCAGACUGGUCCCACCCGUACGGUCAGUCCAGAUCCAAAAUGCCAGCAAGUUCCCUCUGCAGAGACACAGCAACCCCAGACGAUCGUUUCAAACUUUUUAGGCAUCAUCAGUGAGGCAUAGCUGAUAUCUCUCGAGGCACCGUGAGCAAGUGGUCUGUGGCAAACCUAGCCACUUUAGGUCAUAUUGCAGAACAUUUAAAGGUUGUCUGUGUUAACCUGGUGUAAAAAAUGUAUUCAUGUGUUUUAGAAUAGAGAGCAUGCAUAGACUAACAACCGUGAAUAAAAAUGUCAGUUGACUCCUGGAGCCGUGAAUAAAAGUGUCAGUUGACUCCCUGAACUGUGUUUCGUCCGGUUACUGGGGGAUUUGGGAUAUUGCCUUCUUUUCCAGCGCUUUACUUUGGAUUACCUUCUAUACCAGCGGAGAUCUUGGGAUUUAAUAUUGCAGCUCCGCUACAGGUUCCAUGUAUCAUAAGUGUAUUUUGAUAUUAAUAUCAAGGUACAGUAACAAUGGCAUUAUAUAAUAUAUAUGUAUAAUACAUUAAAGGAUCACUAUAGGGUCAGGAACACAAACAUGUAUUCCUGACCCUAUAGUGUUAACACCACCAUCUAGCCCCCCUCAUGC